rnacentral:rRNA from 1 species
GAUGAACGCUAGCGGGAGGCCUAACACAUGCAAGCCGAGCGGGAUUUGAGACUAGCUUGCUAGUCUUAAUGAGAGCGGCGUACGGGUGCGGAACACGUGUGCAACCUGCCUUUAUCUGGGAGAUAGCCUUUCGAAAGGAAGAUUAAUAUCCCAUAAUAUAAUGAUUGGCAUCAAUUAUUAUUGAAAGCUCCGGCGGAUAGAGAUGGGGACGCUCAAGAUUAGAUAGUUGGUGAGGUAACGGCUCACCAAGUCGAUGAUCUUUAGGGGGCCCGAGAGGGUGAUCCCCCACACUGGUACUGAGACACGGACCAGACUCCUACGGGAGGCAGCAGUGAGGAAUAUUGGACAAUGGGUGAAAGCCUGAUCCAGCCAUCCCGCGUGAAGGAUUAAGGACCUAUGGUUUGUAAACUUCUUUUCUACAGGGAUAAACCUACUCUCGUGAGAGUAGCUGAAGGUACUGUAGGAAUAAGCACCGGCUAACUCCGUGCCAGCAGCCGCCGUAAGAC